rnacentral:rRNA from 1 species
GGGCCCGCACAAGCAGCGGAGCAUGUGGUUUAAUUCGACGCAACGCGAAGAACCUUACCUGGGCUUGACAUGUUCCUGACCGGUGUGGAAACACACCUUUCCUUCGGGACAGGAUCACAGGUGGUGCA